rnacentral:rRNA from 1 species
GACGAACGCUGGCGGCGUGCUUAACACAUGCAAGUCAGGGGGCGGGGUAACCCGUCACUGGCGAACGGGUGCGGAACACGUGAGCGACCUGCCCUGGUGUGGGGGAUAGCCGUCCCAACGGCCGUGUAAUACCGCAUACGACGCCCGCUUGGAAGCGGGAGUCCAAGCUCGCACAAGGCGCUAUGAGGGGCUCGCCGCCUGUCAGCGGGGUUGUCCGGUAACGUGGCGACAAGGCGAUGGCGGGUAGAUGGCCUGAGAGGAUGGCCAGGCACAUUGGGACGGAGAGACGGCCCAGGGUACGACGGGGGGCAGAAGAGGGGAAUAUGGGGGAAUGGGCGAAAGACUGACGCAGCGACGCCGCGUGGAGGAUGAGGGCCGUCGGGGUGUAAAGUCGUGUGGGAAGGGAAGAAUGCCCCGCAUCGGCGGGGUUGACGGUACCGGGUGAGGAAGCACCGGCUAACUCUGUG